UCGAGAAUUUUUCUCAAUGGGCGAAAGCCUGAAGGAGCGACGCCGCGUGGGGGAUGAAUGGCUUCGGCCCGUAAACCCCUGUCAUUUGUGACCAAACCUUUUCAUUUAAUAGGUGAAAAGCUGAUGGUAGCGGAAGAGGAAGGGACGGCUAACUCUGUGCCAGCAGCCGCGGUAAUACAGAGGUCCCAAGCGUUGUUCGGAUUCACUGGGCGUAAAGGGUGCGUAGGUGGCCGGGUAAGUCUGAUGUGAAAUCUCGAAGCUUAACUUCGAAACUGCAUUGGAUACUAUUCGGCUGGAGGGUUGGAGGGGGGACUGGAAUUCUCGGUGUAGCAGUGAAAUGCGUAGAUAUCGAGAGGAACACCAGUGGCGAAGGCGAGUCCCUGGACAACUCCUGACACUGAGGCACGAAAGCUAGGGGAGCAAACAGGAUUAGAUACCCCUGUAGUCC
rnacentral:rRNA from 1 species